rnacentral:rRNA from 1 species
ACGAGAUGCGCGAGGUGACUGGAGUUCAGACGUGUGCUCUUCCGAUCUCGGCGGUACGGUCUUGGCCUACCGCGGCAACGACGGGCAACAGCGAACUAGGGUUCGAAUCCGCAGAGGGAGCCUGCGACACGGCUACCACAUCUAAGGACGGCCGCAGGCACACAGCUUACCCAAUCCUGGCACAGGGCGGCAGUGACGCUACACAGCAAUACUGGGCAACCAUGUCUUGCAAAUGCAUAGUGUAGACGUUAACCCCAUGGUCAACUAUCAGUUGGUGGGCACGCUUGGUGCCAGCAGCCGCGGUAAUCCCAGAACAAACAGCGUGCAUUAAAGUUGUUGCGGCCAAGCAGCUCGUAGUUUGAUUUAUGCCGAGGGCGACCGGCCCGCCCUCUGGGCGUGUAUCUGGCUUGGACAGGGGCAUAACAUUUGAGGACGCAGUUGCACGUGGCUGUGAGGCGCGGUAUCCAGGGCUGUUGCUUCGAGGACACUAGAGUGCAUCAAGCCGGCAUAUGCCAUGAACGCAAUCGCAUGGGGCUAUAGCAUAGGACAGUUGUUCUAUGUUGCUGGCUCCAGGCGCCGAUAUAAGGGGUACUAGGGAAUGGUUGGGGGCAUUCGAAUUUACUUACCAGAGCUGAAGUUCGUGGGUGUGCCAACGACGGACUACUGCGAAUUCGUUUGCCAACGAUGUUUGCAUUGGUCAAGAACGAACGCCAGUGGAUCGAAGACUCUCAUACGCCGCCCUAGUCUUAAACACAAAGUAUGGCAACUCGAGAUCGGAGGUCGUUAUCUAGACGACUCCUUCAGCACCUUAUGCGAAAUCAAAGUAUUCGGGGUCCGGUGGGAGUAUGGUCGCAAGGCUGCAACUUACAGGGAGUGGCGGAAGGGCACCACCAGGAGUGGAGCCAUAGGCUUAAUUUGACUCAGCACGGGAAAACUUGCCAGGUCCAGGCAUAGUAAGGAUUGACAGACUGCUAGCUAUGUAAUGAUCCCAUGGGCGGUGGUCCAUGGCCGCUCGUAGUUGGUGGAGUGUUGUGUCUGGUUACUUCCGUUACCGAACGAUAUAUUACCUUGCUAAAGAGUUAGGCGCAACUUCGUCUGCACGGGCAGCUUCUUAGAGGGGCGAGGUGUGUAUAAAGCAAGGACGGUUGAGGUGACGACAGGUCUCUGAUGCCCUUAGAUGUUAUGGGCCGCAUGCGUGCUGCACUGAUGUGCUCGACGAGUGUAUGGCCUUGCCCGUAAGGGCGGGCUGAGCUGUGUUUAAUCACAUCGUGCGGGGGAACGAGUACUGCCAGUGUUAAGCUCCAACGAGGAUUGCCUAGUACGCGCGAGUCAUUAGCUCGUGAUCAGUAUGCCCUUGCCCUGUGCGCACACCGCCCGCCGUUCCUACCGAUUGAGUGUUCAGGUGAAUACGUCGGGCAGCAGCAAUGUUUAGCCCCAGGGUGUUGCCGUGAGACUCUGGCGAACAUCAUCACUUAGAGGACGGAUAAGUCGCAACACGGCUUCCGUAGGUGAACCUGCAGAAU